rnacentral:lncRNA from 1 species
GUAUCACUCACAUACUUUUUCUGGGGAUUUGUUACUUAUUAAAGAUAUGCUAUGAUACAACCCAGAAAUUCUAUUCCUAGGUAUAUGUUUGAGAAGUGCCUGCAGAUAUAAAAUGAAGAAACAUCAAAGAGUAUUCAAAUUAGCAUGGUCACCGGGUGUGAUGGCAGAUACCUGUAAUCCCAGUGACUUGAGAGGCUGAGACAAGAGGAUAACAACUUUGAGGCGAGCCUCAGCAACUUAAAGACCUUGUCUCAAAAAUAUUUUAAAAACUAUUUAUAAAGCAACAUUGUUACAUUUAACAAAAUAUUAAGAAAAAAAUCCUGAAUAUAUAUCAAUAGGGAGAAUGAUUAAACUACAUGAUAUUCAUAAAAUGAAGUUAGUUGUGGAAAUGAAUGAACUACACUUUCAUAUGCCAAUACAGAAAUAUUAUACAGAGACACUUAUAAAAAGGACAAAUCACAGAUGCAUACAGUUCAACACACAUACAAAAUUUUACCCACACAACAAUUCUGUAUAUUGCAUACAGAUACUACAUGUGUAUUAAAUGUGUAAGAAUCUGUUAUUCAGGCCAUAGUGUUUGUUGGUCAUAGCCCCAUCUCUGGGGUGAGAUAGCACUUUGGUUGUGGAAUGGGAGUAGAUUAUUUUAUGGUAGACUGUUUUAGUUAAUGUUUCACACCCAACAAGAACAACUUAGAGGAGAGAAAAUGUUUUGGGGGCUCAUGGUUUCAGAGGUCUUAGUUCAUACAUGGCCAACUGCAUUGCUCUGGAUUGAAGCUGAGGCAGCUUGGGGAAGGGCCCACUGGAGAAAGUUGCUCAGCUCAUGGUCAGGAAGGUGUGUGUGUGAGAGAGAGACAGAGAGAGAUCUAUCCCUUUCACAUCAUACCUUAGUGACCCACUUCCUGUUUACAAAGCUCAUAAUCUGAUCAUUUAAUCUUAAAAUAUUCCUGCAUUAGCAGGAUCUUUGAGGGGACACUUCACAUCCAAACCAUAAUGAAGACUUCAGAAGUAGUGAUGGAGUGAUGAAAAAAAGGGCACAGGUUUUCUAAGCAGAAUUCACACACUGAAAUUGGUCUACUCAGUUUAUUCUCUUGGUCCACAGAAAAGAUGCUCUAAUAUUCAUUUAGAAUCUUUGAUUUUUCCAGACAUAAUUCUAAGAAGCUUAGGUGGUUUCUGAUGCAUGGUAGAUUAGACCUGACCAGAGUCAGGUAUAUAGAUGGUAAUGAGAAACAACCACCAGCUGUAAGACGUAAGGCAGGAAAAACCACUAAAUGGAUGAAUAGGAAUUGAAACCAAAAGCAAUCU